CCUACGGUGGGCAGCAGUGGGGAAUAUUGGGCAAUGGGCGCAAGCCUGACCCAGCCAAGUAGCGUGAAGGAUGACUGCCCUACGGGUUGUAAACUUCUUUUAUAAAGGAAUAAAGUGAGGCACGUGUGCCUUUUUGUAUGUACUUUAUGAAUAAGGAUCGGCUAACUCCGUGCCAGCAGCCGCGGUAAUACGGAGGAUCCGAGCGUUAUCCGGAUUUAUUGGGUUUAAAGGGAGCGUAGAUGGGUUGUUAAGUCAGUUGUGAAAGUUUGCGGCUCAACCGUAAAAUUGCAAUUGAUACUGGCAGCCUUGAGUACAGUUGAGGUAGGCGGAAUUCGUGGUGUAGCGGUGAAAUGCUUAGAUAUCACGAAGAACUCCGAUUGCGAAGGCAGCCUACUAAACUGCCACUGACAUUGAUGCUCGAAAGUGUGGGUAUCAAACAGGAUUAGAUACCCUUGUAGUC
rnacentral:rRNA from 1 species